rnacentral:rRNA from 1 species
UACGUAGGGUGCAAGCGUUGUCCGGAAUUAUUGGGCGUAAAGAGCUCGUAGGCGGUUUGUCGCGUCUGCUGUGAAAACGCGAGGCUCAACCUCGCGCCUGCAGUGGGUACGGGCAGACUAGAGUGCGGUAGGGGAGAUUGGAAUUCCUGGUGUAGCGGUGGAAUGCGCAGAUAUCAGGAGGAACACCGAUGGCGAAGGCAGAUCUCUGGGCCGUUACUGACGCUGAGGAGCGAAAGCAUGGGGAGCGAACAGG